rnacentral:rRNA from 1 species
UGGCGGCACGCCUAAACAUGCAAGUCGAACGAAGUAGCAAUACUUAGUGGCAGACGGGUGAGUAACAUGUGGGUAUCUGCCCUUUGGCCUGGAAUAACACGAGGAAACUUGUGCUAAUACCGGAUAAGUCUUUACAGAGAAAGCUUUAUGCACCAUUGGAUGAGCCCGCACUUGAUUAGUUUGUUGGUGGGGUAAUGGCCUACCAAGACUGUGAUCAAUAGCUGAUUUGAGAGGAUGAUCAGCCACAUUGGGACUGAGACACGGCCCAAACUCCUACGGGAGGCAGCAGUGGGGAAUCUUGCACAAUGGAGGAAA